rnacentral:rRNA from 1 species
GGGUCAGUAGGUUGGUCGUGCCACCGGUACGUACUGGUCUCACUGAUUCCUCCUUCCUGAAGAACCGUAAUGCCAUUAAUUUGGUGUUGCGGGGAAACAGGACUGUUACUUUGAGAAAAUUAGAGUGUUUAAAGCAAGCUGACGCUUGAAUACAUUAGCAUGGAAUAAUGAAAUAGGACGAUCGAUCCUAUUUUGUUGGUUUCUAGGAUUGACGUA